AACAAUAUGAACAGUGUUGCCGUCUCAUCUUCUUCAUGUUAAUUUUGUUUUUUAUAUGGUGUAGUUUAUGGCAACGUUGUAAACAGCUGCUGCCGUUGCUACACACGUUGUGCAGGUUGCUGCCCAUGUGUAUUGCAGGCACAUUUUUCUCAGGAGGGAGAUGUUUUGAUCCAAUCCUAGGCAGAAGCAACAGUUGAAAGUUGUUGAAACUGAUGAUACGGGUGACAACUUCAUCUUACGAAUUCUUCGCAUCUCUCGAGUCUCGAGCAAUUAACAAGAGAUAACAGCUUUUGAUUAAUAUUAAUUGACGCUCAAUUAUCGCCUGCCCUUUUACGAUGUGAUGUGAUUGCUUGCAUAUUCUCUCAUUUCUCUUUCAUCCGUGGUUUUACCGUGUAAACUGUGCGUGACUACAAAUUUAGAUGCUCAUAUAUUUUCGUUUCAUACGUGCUCGGAUUUUAGUGUAUAUCCUCCAGUAUUUCGUCUUACUAUUUCUCCAUUCUCUCUGUGAAAUCACACAUCGUCGGGAUAAUAAUUUCCAAGAAGACUAAUCUUAUAAAAACUGGCAUGAGGUAGCUGGUAGCAUUCUUAUAAUGAAAUUCGUUUGUCUAGGUUAUGUGAUAUCACACCAUGAUUAUUUGAAGUCAAGGGAAAGUUUUUAACAGCCCAAAAUCUCUAGUUGGUUGGAGCCAUCCUCUAUCAUUCAGGUGUUAUGGAGAACUUGAAGGAUCCUGAUGCAGACCUUAGAAGCUGAUGAAGAUGACUAUGAUUGUGCCAUCAUAUUAUUUCAGACUGAUGGCUAUGAUUUUGUGAUAAGGCAAAUAGUUUUUUACAGCAAACACGUUUGAGGUUGUAUAAGAUUUCCUA